GAUGAACGCUGGCGGCGUGCCUAAUACAUGCAAGUCGAGCGAACAGACGAGGAGCUUGCUCCUCUGACGUUAGCGGCGGACGGGUGAGUAACACGUGGAUAACCUACCUAUAAGACUGGGAUAACUUCGGGAAACCGGAGCUAAUACCGGAUAAUAUAUUGAACCGCAUGGUUCAAUAGUGACAGACGGUUUUGCUGUCACUUAUAGGUGGAUCCGCGCCGCAUUAGCUAGUUGGUAAGGUAACGGCUUACCAAGGCAACGAUGCGUAGCCGACCUGAGAGGGUGAUCGGCCACACUGGAACUGAGACGCGGUCCAGACUCCUACGGGAGGCAGCAGUAGGGAAUCUUCCGCAAUGGGCGAAAGCUUGACGGAGCAACGCCGCGUGAGUGAUGAAGGUCUUCGGAUCGUAAAACUCUGUUAUUAGGGAAGAACAAAUGUGUAAGUAACUAUGCACGUCUUGACGGUACCUAAUCAGAAAGCCACGGCUAACUACGUG
rnacentral:rRNA from 1 species